GGAAUAUUGCGCAAUGGGCGAAAGCCUGACGCAGCGACGCCGCGUGGGGGAUGAAGGUUUUCGGAUUGUAAACUCCUUUCAUGAGGAAAGAUAAAGUGGGUAACCACUUAGACGGUACCUCAAGAAGAAGCCACGGCUAACUUCGUGCCAGCAGCCGCGGUAAUACGAAGGUGGCAAGCGUUGUUCGGAUUUACUGGGCGUAAAGAGCACGUAGGCGGUUGGGAAAGCCUCUUGGGAAAUCUCCCGGCUUAACCGGGAAAGGUCGAGAGGAACUAUUCAGCUAGAGGACGGGAGAGGAGCGCGGAAUCCCCGGUGUAGCGGUGAAAUGCGUAGAUAUCGGGAAGAAGGCCGGUGGCGAAGGCGGCGCUCUGGGCCGAUACCGACGCUGAGGAGCGAAAGCAUGGGGAGCAAAC
rnacentral:rRNA from 1 species